rnacentral:rRNA from 1 species
GUCCCAGUUCGGAUCGCAGGCUGCAACCCGCCUGCGUGAAGUUGGAAUCGCUAGUAAUCGCGGAUCAGCAUGCCGCGGUGAAUACGUUCCCGGGCCUUGUACACACCGCCCGUCACACCAUGAGAGUCGGGAACACCCGAAGUCCGUAGCCUAACCGCAAGGGGGGCGCGGCCGAAGGUGGGUUCGAUAAUUGGGGUGAAGUCGUAACAAGGUAAC